AAAAUGAAAUCUGGGUGUUGUUCGAUAAAAAUAAAUAGAGCAUUUUGAAACAAAUAAAAUUAAUCAGUUUAAGGGAUGUACACAAUUAUUUUAAAUCAGUCUGAACUAAAUCCAUACAACCUUAAAAGAGCUCAAUUCAUUUGUGUCGAAACAACAAAAAAUAAUGAUUUGAGUCAAACUACUACUUUUGCGCAUGCGCUGAUGACAGGAAAUCCACGUGACCUCGUCAGUUAUCGCGGGCGCCAUUACGUGGUGGAGUCCAGUCUAUGGUGGAAUGCUGUAGAAUUGGUUUUUACAAGAGCUCAUUAAAUGGUAUCCUAUACUUGGGUUAUAGUCUACUUUUUCACAUGGUUUACAAGAGCAAUAAACAGCAUCCCAUGCUUGGGUUUUAGUAAACUUUUUCAUGUGAACAACAGCGUAGACAUGGAAAGAGAAUGCAUCCUCAAAGCACUGUGUGUAUACUUAAAGGAGGACCAUCUACAGCUGUUCAAGGAGUACAAUGUAAGCAACUGCUUUUCUCUUCUUCACUUUUAUGUUUACGUUAUGUUUUGUACACUUGUUACAGUUUUCAUAUGUUUACUAGAGGUGCAAUGGUUCUCUGUAAAAAAUCUAAGCGUACCAUUCUCUACUUAUGGUUCGGCACUCACUUGAACCGCGGUCCACCUCUAAUGACGAUGCGAGUGCCGUAUGCUGCUCUAACGUCUAGUCAUGAACGCUGUUGCCAUCUUUGUGUAAACGAAACUCAUUUAAGCCUUGCUAACUUAAACAUUCAAGAGCAAGACGCAAAAGAGAACUGUGAGAUGAUUUGUGAGUGUGCUCAUCCAAAGCGCCCACAUGU